UACAAUGUGGUGAAAAACACUCUGAAUUUGGAUUCAGAGAACCUGGGUCCUAAUCCCAGCUUUGUCA
rnacentral:tRNA from 1 species